UUCACGUUUGACAUCAGUCGUCACGGAAUGUCAAUAACAGUCAGUACUAUAAAUUUUCAGCAAAUAAUAUUUAUUACUAAGAUUAAGAAAAUAAAUUUCAAUCGUGGGACGUAGCGUUAUUUUAUGUGUGAUGCUACUAAUGUGGUUUAAAAAAAUUCGUUAAAAAAGGUAAUUUUACUCAAUUAAAUUGAAGUUACGAAUGAGUUUCGUAGAAGACAAGCUUGGAUAUUUGAUAUUAACUGAAGAGGGUGCUGUACUGGAAUCCGGUGGUGAACUAGAAAACGAUGAGCGUGUUGCGACGAUUGUGACCGAUCUUAUCAGUUUAUCAAACAGUGUUGAUCCUGUAGCCUUUGGACAUAAU